CCUACGGGUGGCUGCAGUGGGGGAUAUUGCACAAUGGGGGAAACCCUGAUGCAGCGACGCCGCGUGGGUGAAGAAGCGCCUCGGCGCGUAAAGCCCUGUCAGCAGGGAAGAAAAUGACGGUACCUGAAGAAGAAGCCCCGGCUAACUACGUGCCAGCAGCCGCGGUAAUACGUAGGGGGCAAGGGUUAUCCGGAUUACCUGGGUGGAAGGGGGGCGCAGACGGCGAUGCAGGCCAGGAGGGAAAGCCCGGGGCCCAACCCCGGGACUGCGCUUGGAACUGCGUGGCUAGAGUGCAGGAGGGGCAGGCGGAAUUCCUGGUGUAGCGGUGAAAUGCGUAGAUAUCAGGAGGAACACCGGUGGCGAAGGCGGCCUGCUGGACUGCAACUGACGUUGAGGCCCGAAAGCGUGGGGAGCAAACAGGAUUAGAUACCCCUGUAGUC
rnacentral:rRNA from 1 species